UACAGAGGGUGCAAGCGUUACUCGGAGUUACUGGGCGUAAAGGGCGCGUAGGCGGUUGAAUAAGUGAGAUGUGAAAUCCCUGGGCUUAACCUAGGAACUGCAUCUUAUACUGUUUAACUAGAGUAUUGUAGAGGGUAGUGGAAUUUCCGGUGUAGCGGUGAAAUGCGUAGAGAUCGGAAGGAACACCAGUGGCGAAGGCGGCUACCUGGACAAAUACUGACGCUGAGGCGCGAGAGCGUGGGGAGCAAACAGG
rnacentral:rRNA from 1 species